rnacentral:rRNA from 1 species
UACGGGGGGGGCAAGCGUUGUUCGGAAUUACUGGGCGUAAAGGGCUCGUAGGCGGCCAACUAAGUCAGACGUGAAAUCCCCAGGCUCAACCUGGGAACUGCGUCUGAUACUGGGCGGCUUGAAUUCGGGAGAGGAAUGCGGAAUUCCAGGUGUAGCGGUGAAAUGCGUAGAUAUCUGGAGGAACACCGGUGGCGAAGGCGGCAUUCUGGACCGACAUUGACGCUGAGGCGCGAAAGCCAGGGGAGCAAACGGG